rnacentral:rRNA from 1 species
GAUGAACGCUAGCGGCAGGCCUAAUACAUGCAAGUCGAACGCUCAGUAGCAAUACUGGGAGUGGCGCACGGGUGCGUAACGCGUACACAAUCUACCUCUAAGCGGGGGACACCUCCUGGAAACGGGGAUUAAUACCGCAUAAUAUGCCGAAGUCGCAUGACUUUGGUAUUAAAGCAGCAAUGCACUUAGAGAUGAGUGUGCGUCCCAUUAGGUAGUUGGUGAGGUAACGGCUCACCAAGCCUAUGAUGGGUAGCCGGUCUGAGAGGAUGGUCGGCCACGACGGGCACUGAGACACGGGCCCGACUCCUACGGGAGGCAGCAGUAAGGAAUAUUGGUCAAUGGUGGAAACACUGAACCAGCCAUGCCGCGUGGAGGAAUAAGGUCCUAACGGAUUGUAAACUCCUUUGACGAGGAAGAAAUG